CUACGGGUCGCAGCAGUGGAGAAUAUUGCACAAUGGGGGAAGCCCUGAUGCAGCAACGCCGCGUGGAGGAUGACACAUUUCGGUGCGUAAACUCCUUUUAUAGGUCAAGAUAAUGACGGUAGCCUAUGAAUAAGCGCCGGCUAACUCCGUGCCAGCAGCCGCGGUAAUACGGAGGGCGCAAGCGUUACUCGGAAUCACUGGGCGUAAAGAGCAUGUAGGCGGGUUAAUAAGUCAGAAGUGAAAUCCAAUAGCUCAACUAUUGAACUGCUUUUGAAACUGUUAACCUAGAGUGUGGGAGAGGUAGAUGGAAUUUCUGGUGUAGGGGUAAAAUCCGUAGAGAUCAGAAGGAAUACCGAUUGCGAAGGCGAUCUACUGGAACAUUACUGACGCUGAGAUGCGAAAGCGUGGGGAGCAAACAGGAUUAGAUACCCCCGUAGUC
rnacentral:rRNA from 1 species